rnacentral:rRNA from 1 species
CAAUAGCGUAUAUUAAAGUUGUUGCAGUUAAAAAGCUCGUAGUUGGAUUUCGGGGUGGCCUGCAUGGUCCACCGCAAGGUGAGUACUGGUCAGCCGCCCUUCCUCUCGAAAGCCCCGACUGCUCUUCAUUGCAGUGGUCGGGUAGUUCGGGACGUUUACUUUGAAAAAAUUAGAGUGUUCAAGGCAGGCUCUCGCCUGAAUACAUUAGCAUGGAAUAAUGGAAGAGGACCUCGGUCCUAUUUUGUUGGUUUCUAGGGCCGAAGUAAUGAUUAAGAGGGACAGUUGGGGGCAUUCGUAUUUAAUUGUCAGAGGUGAAAUUCUUGGAUUUAUGAAAGACGAACUAGUGCGAAAGCAUUUGCCAAGGAUGUUUUCAUUAA